GGAAACUGGAUAACUUGAGUGCAGAAGAGGGUAGUGGAACUCCAUGUGUAGCGGUGGAAUGCGUAGAUAUAUGGAAGAACACCAGUGGCGAAGGCGGCUACCUGGUCUGCAACUGACGCUGAGACUCGAAAGCAUGGGUAGCGAACAGGAUUAGAUACCCUGGUAGUCCAUGCCGUAAACGAUGAGUGCUAGGUGUUGGAGGGUUUCCGCCCUUCAGUGCCGGAGCUAACGCAUUAAGCACUCCGCCUGGGGAGUACGACCGCAAGGUUGAAACUCAAAGGAAUUGACGGGGGCCCGCACAAGCGGUGGAGCAUGUGGUUUAAUUCGAAGCUACGCGAAGAACCUUACCAGGUCUUGACAUCUUGCGCCAACCCUAGAGAUAGGGCGUUUCCUUCGGGAACGCAAUGACAGGUGGUGCAUGGUCGUCGUCAGCUCGUGUCGUGAGAUGUUGGGUUAAGUCCCGCAACGAGCGCAACCCUUGUUACUAGUUGCCAGCAUUAAGUUGGGCACUCUAGUGAGACUGCCGGUGACAAACCGGAGGAAGGUGGGGACGACGUCAGAUCAUCAUGCCCCUUAUGACCUGGGCUACACACGUGCUACAAUGGACGGUACAACGAGUCGCGAACUCGCGAGGGCAAGCAAAUCUCUUAAAACCGUUCUCAGUUCGGACUGCAGGCUGCAACUCGCCUGCACGAAGUCGGAAUCGCUAGUAGUCGCGGAUCAGCAUGCCGCGGUGAAUACGUUCCCGGGCCUUGUACACACCGCCCGUCACACCAUGAGAGUUUGUAACACCCAAAGUCGGUGGGGUAACCUUUUAGGAGCCAGCCGCCUAAGGUGGGACAGAUGAUUAGGGUGAAGUCGUAACAAGGUAGCCGUAGGAGAACC
rnacentral:rRNA from 1 species